GAUGAAGAACGUAGCGAAAUGCGAUAAGUAAUGUGAAUUGCAGAAUUCAGUGAAUCAUCGAAUCUUUGAACGCACCUUGCGCCUUUUGGUAUUCCGAAAGGCACACCUGUUUGAGCGUCAUGAAUACCUCAAUCUCCAUCUUUUCUUCGGAUUGAUGGGUGACUUGGAUGUUGAGCCCUGCUGGUAUGCUAUAUCAGCUGGCUUUAAACUUAUUAGCCGGCUCUGUACUGGAUCGGUUUGACUCGACGUGAUAAUAUUAUCGUUGAGGAUGCAUGUCUCAUGCAGCCGGAAAGUAUCAAAGCAGCUUCUAGCUUGCCUUUAGUGCACUUUUACAUUUUAGACCUCAGAUCAGGUGGGACUACCCGCUGAACUUAAGCAUAUCAAUAAGCGGUGGA
rnacentral:misc_RNA from 1 species